CAAUAGCGUAUAUUAAAGUUGUUGCAGUUAAAAAGCUCGUAGUUGGUUUUCUGGUGGGAGCGAUCGGUCUGGCGCUUAGCGCGAGUACUUGCAUCGUCUCCGGCCAUCCUUGGGGAGAGUCUGUCUGGCAUUAGGUUGUCGGGCAGAGGAUCCUCAUCGUUUACUGUGAAAAAAUUAGAGUGUUCAAAGCAGGCUUAUGCCGUUGAAUAUAUUAGCAUGGAAUAAUAAGAUAGGACUUUGGUACUAUUUUGUUGGUUUGCGCACCAAAGUAAUGAUUAAUAGGGACAGUUGGGGGUAUUCGUAUUCCGUUGUCAGAGGUGAAAUUCUUGGAUUUACGGAAGACGAACUACUGCGAAAGCAUUUACCAAGGAUGUUUUCAUUAA
rnacentral:rRNA from 1 species